ensembl:lincRNA Gm43801 predicted gene 43801
UAGACCUUAGAGAACUAACUGCAUUUCCAAUGCGAAGACCAAAGUCCCAAGAGCAGCAUGAAGUUUUCAUUCAAUUCUGAAGGUGGCCAGUGCACCAUCUUGGCAGCUGGCAUGGCAUGUGAAGAACGUUGAGCCUGGGAAAGCACAGUCUGUCUUCGGAGACCUUCUGGGACAACAGAGGUCACUCCUUAGCUGCUUUGUAUCCAACUGUUUCCUGUCAUCAUUCAUACAUUUGGAACAGAUAUUGGCAAAGCAAAGGUUGACUUGGGCUGUGAAGCAGAUAGAACUAGAAAGGGACCUCCCGUGACCCCGUCGGGGAUCCAGCUGGACUCUGGCAAAGUCCCUGGAAUCCAUGGACCCUUCUUCACGGGAAAUGCUAAUUCUACUCUGCUAGGCCACUCUCCAGAGAUAUUCCUCUCAAGUAUCAACAGUGACCAUUGCACUAACACUAGGCCAAAGGCCCUACGCUGCCUGGAAUAUUUAUUUACACCGCUUAUCUAAUGGUUUCUAGAUUAAAACAAUGAUCUUGGUUU